GACGAACGCUGGCGGCGUGCCUAACACAUGCAAGUCGAGCGAAGUGAGUACUACGGUACGAACUUAGCGGCGGACGGGUGAGUAACGCGUGGACAAUCUACCCUGUAGACUGGGAUAACACCUCGAAAGGGGUGCUAAUACCGGAUAAUGUCGAGAAGCGGCAUCGCUUUUCGAAGAAAGGAGAGAAUCCGCUAUAGGAGGAGUCCGCGACCCAUUAGCUAGUUGGUGAGGGUAACGGCCCACCAAGGCGACGAUGGGUAGCCGGCCUGAGAGGGUGAACGGCCACACUGGAACUGAGACACGGUCCAGACUCCUACGGGAGGCAGCAGUGGGGAAUAUUGUGCAAUGGGGGAAAUCCUGACACAGCAACGCCGCGUGAGCGAAGAAGGCCUUCGGGUUGUAAAGCUCAAUAGUAUGGGAAGAUAAUGACGGUACCAUACGAAAGCCCCGGCUAACUACGUGCCAGCAGCCGCCGUAAAAC
rnacentral:rRNA from 1 species